GUUUGGACAUACUGGUUGUACCGACCAUAUCUUCUGCAGAGUAAACACGGUCCCAUUUAACCUUCUACCUCUGCCCGUUCCAUAUUAAUCAAGCCCCUUACAGGCGUGAUAUAUUAGCUUCGCCUUGUGUCCUCACUGAACUAAACGAGGCAGCUUUGUUAUGUUUGGUGACUGUUACCACAAGCCUUCAUCGCCAGGCUUUUCGUCGGGCUGACAACUGAUUACCAUGCCACAUCCUUAUCUCCUUCACAAGCGACAUGCUUGCAAAUCCACAUUCUCGACAUCGACAAGAUGGCGCCUUUCUUCGAUGCGCCCUUACCUGGCGGGCUCGUUCUCCUGAGUUCAGCCACGUGGUCAACGUCUUCAAUAUAACCUG